rnacentral:miRNA from 1 species
GUCAAAGUUUCCGGAUAUGAUGUCAUUAGGUGAAUUUUUGGUACAAAAAAAACAAAGGAAAACUAAUUUGCAAUUCACCUAAUGACAUCAUAUCUGGAAACAUUGAC